GUGUGAAGCACAAUUCUGAAUGGCAUCUGUGCUUGGAGCUUCAGAGGACUGCUGACUGUCAUAAAACUCUGUGUGCCACCAGCCGGGGGUCGGGGAUUUAAAGAUGUCAGGGGGACCUGGCCUCUCAGAUGGGAUAAAGAUCAGAAGGAAAGCUGUCCAGGUGAUGCCCGGGCCCCUGAACAGGCCUAUCUGCACUUUCAUUCAAAUGAUAAUGAGUGUGUAAAUCACAUCUGUUCCCCCUCUGUGCCUGUAUCCUUGUCACCUGAAUAGCAUCCCCACCAGGUAUCAAAUGAGCUACAGGAAAUAGGUUUUCUUUUUAUCCAACUUCACUCUGAAAUGAGAAAAUGAGCACCCUGACAAGGAAGCCCACAAACCAACGGGGAUUCCAAGCCCGGAUUUCAUCAUAAUAAAGAAUGUUUAAUUGUUAGCUGAAGGUUCAGUCAGUGAGCGGGAACACCAAGGUUCGGAUAUAAAGGUAGCUCUCUCUGGCUCCUCACUGCCCAAUUCUUGAAUAGCCUCCGAAAAGUACCCGAUAAUUAGUAGUCACUGACUUUUAAGGAUUUGAUCUCAUUCUAAUGGCGUAACCCCAAAAUCUCAGGCAAGACCAGCAAUUCUCACCUCUCUGUCUUCUUUUAAGUAUCAAAACAAGGGCUGACUAGAUGGAAGCGCUCCUGGAAGCCUGACAGUGAGCUGCUGGAUAAGAUAACACAGAGAAGCACUUUCCCAGAGUAAAUAUGUACAGAAAUUGCUGGCUGCUACCAUUCUGUUGGGAUUCUAAAGUUGUGCUAAUUGGGCAGAGCUGAACCGUUUAAAGAAUUGUGAGCCAGCUUACUCACUCUUGCCCCCUCUCCUACAAAUCAGAAGAUUGCAGUGUGUGCUGAUGGAGUACUGAGCAAACUGAAGUUAUGUCAGCUUUGCUGACCUGUUCAAGAGAGGGACUCUCAACUCUUAGUUCCUCCUUGUGCAUACACUGCAUCAAGAAUCAAGGACUUACCUUGAUCAUCACUCAAUUCAUUCUAUCAGUCACUCAACAAACAUUUCAUGAAUACUUACAAGAUGUCAGGCUCUGACCCUUGCCGAAUGAUUCUUCCUGACACUGAUCUGUGAGGCUUUGUGAAGACUCACCUUUGGACCUCUGGUGCUGGCACAAGACAAAUUGUCUUCAGUGCACAGUGGAUAUGAGGAAACUGAGGUGCAGAGAUGCUAGAUAAUGGCUCGAUGUCACUGGUAUCAAGUGCUGGAGCUGGAGGUUUUUGAACCUGGACAUGCUCACAAUUAUGACACUUAGCUACAUCAGAAAGGAAGGAUGGAUGAAAGAAAGCUUCAGGAUCUGCCAUUGAGGCGGAUGUGUCAGGAACGUAUGUAACACAGAAGGGCUUCUGAAGCAAUGUGAGAAUGAUUGGAGAAAGAAGUAACAGAUGGGCUUACUUAUAAAAGGAAAGAAAGAAGAUUGGAACAAUUGGGAGGUAGCAGGAUAAAAAGUUAAAGACACAAGUUAUAGUGGAAAAGUAGAAUGCUCUUUCUCACCAUUCAAGCUAGAAGAUCAAGAACACUGGUCACCUUGCACUCUUCAAAGGGACCAAGCUGAGGGCAGCACCUGAAACAACUUUUCCCCACCACCUACAGCCCUGACACUGGAACGGGAAGAAAGUUCUCAUAUGAAAAUAAACUAGCUCAGUCUUCUCCCAA